rnacentral:rRNA from 1 species
UACGGAGGAUCCGAGCGUUAUCCGGAUUUAUUGGGUUUAAAGGGUGCGCAGGCGGGGGAUUAAGUCGGCGGUGAAAUUUUGCAGCUCAACUGUAAAAGUGCCUUCGAAACUGGUUUCCUUGAGUGUAGAUGAAGUAGGCGGAAUUUGUGGUGUAGCGGUGAAAUGCAUAGAUAUCACGAGGAACUCCGAUCGCGUAGGCAGCUUACUAGGCCAUAACUGACGCUCAUGCACGAAGGCGUGGGGAUCAAACAGGAUUAGAUACCCCUGUA